UACGUAGGGUGCGAGCGUUAAUCGGAAUUACUGGGCGUAAAGCGUGCGCAGGCGGCUUUGCAAGACAGAUGUGAAAUCCCCCGGGCUUAACCUGGGAACUGCAUUUGUGACUGCAUGGCUAGAGUCCGGAAGAGGAGAGUGGAAUUCCUGGUGUAGCGGUGAAAUGCGCAGAUAUCAGGAGGAACACCCGUGGCGAAAGCGGCUCUCUGGGACGGUACUGACGCUGAGACGCGAAAGCGUGGGGAGCAAACAGG
rnacentral:rRNA from 1 species